rnacentral:piRNA from 1 species
UGGAAAUCUGCAUUUAAUGGAGCCCCCAC